GAGAAUAGGGCUGGCAUAUGA
rnacentral:siRNA from 1 species